rnacentral:sRNA from 2 species
ACAUCUGUUUCUUGUGUGGGUUGUAUACACAGCAAAGACUCAUUUCAAUUUUGCAUUCUGCUUUCUGCAUAUGAUCAUCUCAUUGACCAUCCCCAUCUCUAUUGCAAUUAUUUGUGAAGCUUCAAGAAGAGUUUCUGUUCUUUCAUCACUUCAGAUACCACUUCAUAUACAUCUAUUACUACUCUCAUCUUUAAUUCUUUUGCAACUCAUUCAUUCUUCUUCACUUCUGCUUUCACUUCUACUCUUUCUUCUCUUUCUUCAUUUUCUGUCAGAUAAGCAUUCAUCAUUUAUUCUUGUAGAGGUUCAGACAUCUGCUCUAUCAUAUUACCCAC